rnacentral:rRNA from 1 species
UCGCCUGUUUAUCAAAAACAUAGCCAUUAGAUGAUAUUACAUGGUUUUACCUGCCCAAUGUUAUAUAUGAAUGGCCGCGGUACUCUGACCGUGCUAAGGUAGCGUAAUCAGUUGACCUUUAAAUGAGGUCAGGAAUGAAUGGAAUAACCGGGUUUAGCUGUCUCUGUGUCACUAUAUUGAAUUUACUAUCUAAGUGAAAAAGCUUAGGGUUAAAAAAGGGAGGAGAAGACCCUUAGAAUUUUUUUAAAAAGGAAAUAAAAUUUUCUUACAAUUUUAUUGGGGCGAUAAAGAAAUAAUUAAAACUUUCUUUUAUUACAAGCCGAUUAUAUUAAGUGAGAAUAAAUUACCUGAGGGAUAACAGCAUAAUUCUAUAAAUGAGUUUGUGACCUCGAUGUUGGACUAGGAAACUAGCAGGCUAGCCGUUUGCUGUGUUAGGUUCUGUUCGAACUUUUAUUCCU